AACAGGUUCAAAAUUACCCAGUGUGCUUAGUGGUAGAGUCAGAACCAGAACACAGGCCUGCAAAGACUGCCUAAAAUUUGCCUCUUGACUUGACAGCCCCUCCAAUUGUAUAGGACCUUCACCCUGAAUGGGAUCCACUCACGACCCGACGUAGGCGUGAACAUCACACACAUGCAUCACUGGACUCAGCGCUCCUGUGACAGAUGUGGUUGCACCUGCCAUCCAGCAAGCUGCUCCUGGUUUCAAGAUAUCAUGAAGCCUGUGUGGAAACAAAUUAGUAGAUUGCUGUGAGCACACACACGUCAGAGCAAAGGGAGGUUGAUAGAAAUGGCAGGAUAUCUCUGGAAGCUAAACGAGUCAUUUCUAACUCAGAGUGGAGCACAACCCUUUGUAGGUUCUACUGUACUGAGCUGUCUUUGGAGGCCUCCAGUGAGCAACUAGGAAGUGGCCCAGCCCAGGGGGAAGAUUCAUGUGGUUUUGAUUAUCUGCGAAAAGGGCUGCUGGGACUCCUUCUAGAAGAAACUUACACCUGAAGCUUCAUGUUCUGGUUUUGGACGUCCCAACUGAACCAGCUGUGAUAUCUUUGGGAACAUUGAAGACCUGUGAAGAGCAAGAAGGUAUAACGCUUUUUAUCUAGACAUCUUAUGAAAUUGCAGAU
rnacentral:lncRNA from 1 species